rnacentral:rRNA from 1 species
CCUACGGGGGGCAGCAGUGGGGAAUAUUGGGCAAUGGACGCAAGUCUGACCCAGCAACGCCGCGUGAAGGAAGAAGGCUUUCGGGUUGUAAACUUCUUUUAAGGGGGAAGAGCAGAAGACGGUACCCCUUGAAUAAGCCACGGCUAACUACGUGCCAGCAGCCGCGGUAAUACGUAGGUGGCAAGCGUUGUCCGGAUUUACUGGGGGUAAAGGGCGUGCAGCCGGAGAGACAAGUCAGAUGUGAAAGCCACGGGCUCAACCCGUGAACUGCAUUUGAAACUGUUUCCCUUGAGUGUCGGAGAGGUAAUCGGAAUUCCUUGUGUAGCGGUGAAAUGCGUAGAUAUAAGGAAGAACACCAGUGGCGAAGGCGGAUUACUGGACGAUAACUGACGGUGAGGCGCGAAAGCGUGGGGAGCAAACAGGAUUAGAUACCCUUGUAGUC